CCUAACAAGUGCAAACACUCCAUCGCAUUUCCUAGACGCUGAACUCCUCAUCGGCCAUCGCUGAACGCCAUCGCAGAACACCGCCGUCGCCGUGCAAGCGUCAUCAUCACCGUGCAGCUGUCACCGUCUCCGUGCUGCCGUCGCCGUCGCCGUGCAGCCGUCACCAUCUCCGUGCAGCCGUGGUCGUGCACCAAAACUCCGUCCCCGUCGCCUCCUCCUCCAUUUCUAACCGGUUGAUGUGCAGGAAGAGAGGUGAGAAGAGAUAGAGUGAGAGAGAACAGAAUUAGGUUUUCAUUCAUCAAAAAACAUACCCAUUACAUUCGAAUUAUUCUCCUUUAUACAACGGCUAAGGAUCGACUAAGCGACACCGUUCGAUUGCUUCAUAACGGCUAACUAACCACUUACUCAAACGACAGCGUUUCACUCCUUCUCUGCAACGGCUCUAACGGCCUGCUAUCACACGACGUCGUCCCACUACCCAUGUGACACCCCA